rnacentral:lncRNA from 1 species
GAAGUCGCUGCAGUGACCUCCGUACCUGACUCUUAGGGGAUUUCUCCUGAGAAUUUGGGGGCCGGGGGAGAGGGUUGUAGGCCUAAUCCGUUGUUGUUGUAUUUUGACUGGGGGCUUGAUUUCUUUUGUCGGGAGCUGAGCCAGGAAGGGUUCGCAUGGCUGCGGUGUGCUUGCUAAUAUCGUCACUCUGACUUCUGCAGAGUAUCCGAGAGGGGUCUCCUGGGAUCUCAGUUUUAAGGUUCUCUGGAAGGUACAAUGGUCAGGGACCCCACUCCUCCAGGAGAUUCUGAUCAAAGGUCACGUACUUCGCCAGCCUCUAGUGUCCAGCCAGAAGUCUUAAAUUUAUUCAUCCGUAAGAUUGAGAUAACAUCUGGCUGGGCUGUUGUGAGCAUUGAAAGAGCUAAUGUACUUGUAGUGCCUAGUAGACUGUUCCAGGCAUCUGGUAGGCGCCUUUUCUUUUUCUCCCUGCUCCAGAUCUUUGGAUUCUAGGAAUGUAUCCGGAGUGAUAAACAUUGGGCGAGAUACUGUAUAUUGGGAGUGGGUGUGUGAAUGUGUGGGGAGUUUGAAUGUGGCAAUCUUGACUUCAGUGGCGCAUACACAGGAGGAGAAAAGGAUAAGAUGGAAACUUUGGGGAAAAUCCACAUCUGGAUGAAAAUAAACCAGAAGAGGAGAGAGAGAGAGCGAAGACCAGCAGAAAAGUAUUUAAACCAAGAGACAGUUGUUUGACAGAAUACAAGGAAAUAGAAAAGAUAAGUGAAUGGAGUGAUUGAUUAGUGUUUGGAGCUGUACGGUACGAAAGUGGAUAUCCUGUCUGGUUCCUUUGUUUUAGGUUGCAAGAGAACUAGAACCCUGAGAGGAGAAGCAGUUUUCACCUUCUUACUAGCAAAUCUUGUUUUUCUCUAUAGUGGUUUUUAUUAACUUCCAAAGGAAAACUGAAGAUCCUAACCCCUGUGUCAUGAGUUAUCACGUUAAAAGUCCAUAGAAAAAAUUUUUUUUAACCCAGUUCUUUUUGUGUAUAUAUUUUUUGCCUUGAUAAUACUAGUUUAUUGAGUUUGCCGAGUGACACAUUGCCAAAUCUUAUGCCCUAUUUUUAAUUCCUCAGAUACAUGAUCUUUCUGUAUAGUCUUAGACAGUCUUUACCCCUAGUCUGUUUGGAUGAAGAGCUUGGUAGAGAGGUUGAGUUUGAUAUCUAAGUGUCAGCGGCAUCAAACUCGGAGCCAGGUAUUAUGAUAAAGUGCUUUAACAUAUUCAGUGAAUCCCUACAACAGGCUGAAGAUGUUAUUUUUAUCCCCAUUUUUUAGAAAACUUUAUUCAGUUAUAAUUGAAGACCUCUACGCUGCACAUAUAUAAAGCCGUAAGUUUGGUUUGAUCAGUUUUGACAUAUAUGUAUACCCAUUAAACCACUACUACAAUAAACAUAAUCUUCUGUCAAUCCCAAAAGUUUUCUUGUGCCCUUUGUAAUCCAUCUCUCUUUCCAACCUCAUACCGAAGCAACCACUUUCUGUCAGUAGAGACUAGUUUGCAUUUUCUUGAAUCUUAAAUAAAUGAAAUCAUUAUCCCCA